rnacentral:sRNA from 1 species
UCACAUCAGGCACAGUUACAGGGGCUUC